AAUUAUGGCCAUUCAUUGCAGACGUAAGCUUUUGCUUUUCUUAUCACUUACUUUAGUAUACAAUUAGAUGUGAAUAGGCAAAAUUUUGUGAGAUAACUUUGUUGCUGGUAGGAUUCUUUGUUUUUUUCCAAGAUAAAGGUAGAUAUUUGUUACAUAUUAUAGGAAGAGGAGAAGAAAUGUUAGAGGUGUUGGGAAUUAAUUGUAAUUGAAGACUAUUAGUUGAAAUUGGAGGGAAAUAACUGAUUGUAGUUUUGGAGGGAAAAUAAUAGAACUGUUAUUCUGUUACAGAAGUAAUUACUGAUGACUGCUUGUAAAAGGGGAAAUACUAGUGUUAAAAAUUCAUUGAAGAAAAUCAAUAAAGAAUGCUCUCCUUCUCUCUAACUCUUUUUCUAUCUCUUUUCUCUCUCUUCCUCUUCUCAUCCCAUAUUCUGAUUUCUUCUCUCAUCCCAAACUCUCUUUCCUCUCUAAACUCUCUCAAUUUCGAGAGAUAGCUGCUGUAACUUUACACUUCCUCAUUGCAACUCUAAGUUGAAGAAUAUGCUAGAAGAAAAGGCAAAAUCACCUGUUAUUUGUGGUGACCUUAAUAAGCAUUGUCUUAACUAAGUUUCACUUUCUCUGCCCAAUUGCACAUGUUCAUUUCAUAGUAACACCGAUCUGCUUUAGUUGUGAAAAAUCCUAUCUAGAUAUGAUGCCUUCCUUGUAUUUAGUUGAUGUUUGCUUGAUUUCUUUGAAAUGAUUCAGUAUAGGUGGAAUUGCUAAGUGGAUUUGUUUCAUUUGUAAUUUUAUGACCGUGUGCUCCUUGUUCUUGUUGCCUGGCUGAUUUUCUCUUUGAGCACUAUUCAUCUAAACUUUUCCCUUUACGGGGUGUGAUAUUUAACCUUAGUUCUUUAAAUAGAUGAGCAGAACCAGUGUUUUGUGUUGCAGGUUUCUGAGACAUAAUUGAUGUGCCAUGUUCUUAAUUUCCUGUUUAAGAUAUGACUAGUUGGAUUGUAACUGUUUCCCUUUCCUUUUGUAGUCCCAUAUGUUAGGCCUUGGGAGAGCCAUAAUUUCCAUAAAGAUAUAAAUAUACUUAACACGUUAGUAGAAGCAGUUUUGCCUGUGGGCUUGAGUUUUGAGUAAGCCUUAAUAAUUGUUUGUGGACAAUAAUUUCUGGUGAUUCAGAAGUCGAAGCAAAUCAACG
rnacentral:misc_RNA from 1 species